rnacentral:rRNA from 1 species
AGUGAACGCUGGCGGUAGGCCUAACACAUGCAAGUCGAACGGCAGCACAGUAAGAGCUUGCUCUUACGGGUGGCGAGUGGCGGACGGGUGAGGAAUACAUCGGAAUCUACUUUUUCGUGGGGGAUAACGUAGGGAAACUUACGCUAAUACCGCAUACGACCUACGGGUGAAAGCAGGGGAUCUUCGGACCUUGCGCGAUUGAAUGAGCCGAUGUCGGAUUAGCUAGUUGGCGGGGUAAAGGCCCACCAAGGCGACGUUCCGUAGCUGGUCUGAGAGGAUGAUCAGCCACACUGGAACUGAGACACGGUCCAGACUCCUACGGGAGGCAGCAGUGGGGAAUAUUGGACAAUGGGCGCAAGCCUGAUCCAGCCAUACCGCGUGGGUGAAGAAGGCCUUCGGGUUGUAAAGCCCUUUUGUUGGGAAAGAAAAGCAGCAGGUUAAUACCCCGCUGUUCUGGCGGUACCCAAAGAAUAAGCACCGGCUAACUUCGUG